CUGGGAGCUGUAGUUCUGUGGUGCCGGGCGGCCACGUGGGCUCCGCGGCGCGCGGCCGGUCUUUCCCCGAGCCGGGGCCGGGCUGUGCGCGCCGGGAGGCGCAGGUUGCUGCUGGCUGCGAGCGCGGUUGCCGGCGGGCAGAAGCAGCUCCCCGCCGCUAGGACCCCUGUGGGUUUUGUUGCCGAGCGAAGGUGGCGCACCGGGUAAACCGAGGAAUCUAUUACAGAGGGAUGCAGCUCUCUCGUUACCACUUCUGCUGACUCCUGAAGCGAUCCUCUCUGCCCUGGUCCGAUAUCCCUGCCCGUCUGUGGCAAAGAGUUUGUCCCUCAGAUUGCAGAAGCAGCAUUGUGGAAUUUAGGUUUUGCUCGUGCAGAAGGCUGACAGCCUGUCUCACUCUCAUCAGUGCUAUCCCACCAGCUCCUUUAGGAGCUCAGCGCCACGUUUGGCCUGUUCUGAUCUUCCUGCAAUCCCCUCAUUUCUGUGCUGCAACACCACCAUCCAUAAGAAGUCAGAGAGGAGAAAAGCUCUUUCCAGCGAGAUGGAGAAGGAAUUAAUUAUACCUCUGCCUCAUCCUGUGAGACCAGAAGACAUGGAGUAACUCCCAUUUCCGCAGGAGGCAACCGUUCCCCAUGGGAUGAACGCUGAGAGGGAUGGACAGACCUGCUCGAUGCCUGAGCCCUGCAGCCCCCAGGGGAAGGGGAGAACGUCCGGGCAGGGAGUUCCACCGCAGUCUCCCUGCCAGGAGUCCUGCGCAAGAGUUU